rnacentral:rRNA from 1 species
AGCGUUAUUCGGAAUUACUGGGCGUAAAGUGUGCGCAGGCGGCCGCGCAAGUCGAGUGUGAAAGCCCCGGGCUUAACUUGGGAAUUGCGCUCGAAACUACGUGGCUGGAGUGUGGCAGAGGAAGGUGGAAUUCCACGUGUAGCGGUGAAAUGCGUAGAGAUGUGGAGGAACACCAGUGGCGAAGGCGACUACCUGGCCUGUUCUUGACGCUGAGGCGCGAAAGCUAGGGGAGCAAACGGG